AACGGCCGUAUCAUGCUGAAUAUACCGGUUCUCGUUAGAUCACCGAAGUCAAGCAUCAUUGGGCGCGGUCAGUACUUGGGUGGGUGACCACCUGGGAACACUGCGUGCCGUU
rnacentral:rRNA from 1 species